GCGGGAUAAAUUAAAUGAAAUAUUUGUAUUGAAAAUUUUUAAAAGGAACUCGGCAAAACUUAAUUCCGCCUGUUUAUCAAAAACAUGGCUCCUUGUUGUUCCAUAUAAGGAGUCGGACCUGCUCGGUGAAUAUAUUUUAACAGCCGCGGU
rnacentral:rRNA from 1 species